GAUUUCAUAGUGUAGUGGUUAUCACGUGUCCUUCACAAUCAGCUUAGUUAGCAGAACCGGACAAGGUCCUGGGUUCGACCCCCAGUGAAAUCA